AUACGUAGGGGGCGAGCGUUGUCCGGAAUUAUUGGGCGUAAAGGGCGUGUAGGCGGUUAUUUAAGUCAGGUGUGAAACACCACGGCUCAACCGUGGGGUUGCACUUGAAACUGGAGGACUUGAGUGCAGGAGAGGAGAGCGGAAUUCCCGGUGUAGCGGUGAAAUGCGUAGAUAUCGGGAAGAACACCAGUGGCGAAGGCGGCUCUCUGGCCUGCAACUGACGCUGAGGCGCGAAAGCUAGGGUAGCGAACGGGAUUAGAUACCCCGGUAGUCCUAGCCGUAAACGAUGGGUACUAGGUGUGGGAGGUAUCGACCCCUUCCGUGCCGGAGUUAACGCAAUAAGUACCCCGCCUGGGGAGUACGGCCGCAAGGCUGAA
rnacentral:rRNA from 1 species